rnacentral:rRNA from 1 species
UACGUAGGGUGCAGGCGUUAAUCGGAAUUACUGGGCGUAAAGCGUGCGCAGGCGGUUUGCUAAGACAGGUGUGAAAUCCCCGGGCUUAACCUGGGAACUGCGCUUGUAACUGGCAAGCUUGAGUGUGGCAGAGGGGGGUGGAAUUCCACGUGUAGCAGUGAAAUGCGUAGAGAUGUGGAGGAACACCGAUGGCGAAGGCAGCCCCCUGGGCUAACACUGACGCUCAUGCACGAAAGCGUGGGGAGCAAACGGG